UACGAAGGGGGCUAGCGUUGCUCGGAAUCACUGGGCGUAAAGGGUGCGUAGGCGGGUCUUUAAGUCAGGGGUGAAAUCCUGGAGCUCAACUCCAGAACUGCCUUUGAUACUGAGGAUCUUGAGUUCGGGAGAGGUGAGUGGAACUGCGGGUGUAGAGGUGAAAUUCGUAGAUAUUCGGAAGAACACCAGUGGCGAAGGCGGCCCGCUGGACAUGUAUUGACGCUGAGGUGCGAAAGCGUGGGGAGCAAACAGG
rnacentral:rRNA from 1 species